CCAUGUGAUGAAAAAAAUUAGCAGAUUGGUGAAGAAGUGGAGCGACUCUGAGG
rnacentral:ncRNA from 16 species